UUGAACGCUGGCGGCAUGCCUUACACAUGCAAGUCGAACGGUAGAGGGGCAACCCUUGAGAGUGGCGAACGGGUUAGUAAUGCAUCGGAACGUGCCCAGUCGUGGGGGAUAACGCAGCGAAAGCUGUGCUAAUACCGCAUGUGAUCUGUGGAUGAAAGCAGGGGACCGCAAGGCCUUGUGCGAUUGGAGCGGCCGAUGUCAGAUUAGCUAGUUGGUAGGUAAAAGCCUA
rnacentral:rRNA from 1 species